rnacentral:rRNA from 1 species
UAAUGGAAUAGGACCCUGACCUCCUAUUUUCAGUUGGUUUUGUUUACAGCGAGGUUAUAUCAGGGUAAUGAUUAAUAGGGAUAGUUGGGGGCAUUAAUAUUUAAUUGUCAGAGGUGAAAUUCUUGGAUUUAUGAAAGAUUAACUUCUGCGAAAGCGUUUGCCAAGGAUGUUUUCAUUAAUCAAGAACGAAAGUUAGGGGAUCGAAGACGAUCAGAUACCGUCGUAGUCUUAACCAUAAACGAUGCCGACCAGCGAUUAGGAGACGUUGAAUACAAAACACCGCCGUUAAUCCUUUCGGGGGUUAAUGGUUGGUGAAUGACUCCCUAGCAGCUUGUGAGAA